rnacentral:rRNA from 1 species
CAAUAGCGUAUAUUAAAGUUGUUGCAGUUAAAAAGCUCGUAGUUGAAUUUCUGGUGGGCGCGCCGGUCUUCCAAGUGUUGUACUGGGCGCAGUCCGCCAUCCUUGUGGAGAGGGCUCGCAUUGAUUUGCGUGUCGGAUCUGCAUCAUUUACUGUGAAAAAAUUAGAGUGUUUAAAGCAGGCUAUCGCUUGAAUGCAUUAGCAUGGAAUAAUAAGAUAGGACUUCGGUCUAUUUUGUUGGUUGCGAACCGAGGUAAUGAUUAAUAGGGAUAGUUGGGGGUAUUCAUAUUUAAUUGUCAGAGGUGAAAUUCUUGGAUUUAUGAAAGAUGAACAACUGCGAAAGCAUUUACCAAGGAUGUUUUCAUUA